GCGCCCAUAGCUCAGUUGGUAGAGCAGCUCCCUCUUAAGGAGAUUGUCCCAGGUUCGAGUCCUGGUGGGCGCA
rnacentral:tRNA from 1 species